rnacentral:rRNA from 1 species
GUGAACGCUGGCGGCACGCUUAACACAUGCAAGUCGAACGGCAGCAUGGGGUGUAGCAAUACAUUCUGAUGGCGAGUGGCGGACGGGUGAGUACGCGUAGGGAUCUGCCCUGUAGAGGGGGACAACCCGGGAAACCCGGGCUAAUACCGCAUAGUACUUCUGAGGAGGAAAGCUGGCGAGGAGCGAUCCUGCUGGCGCUAUGGGAGGAAACCUGCGUCCGAUUAGUCAGCUGGUGAGGUAAAGGCUCACCAGGGCGAUGAUCGGUAGCUGGUCUGAGAGGAUGACCAGCCACACUGGGACUGAGACACGGCCCAGACUCCUACGGGAGGCAGCAGUGGGGAAUAUUGGACAAUGGGGGCAACCCUGAUCCAGCAAUGCCGCGGUGUGUGAAAGAAGGCCUUCGGGUUGUAAAGCACUUUGGGCGGGGAAGAAGUUAUUCUGUUUAAGGAGAUGGGGUAAUUGACUGUACCCGCAGAACCAAGCACCGGCUAACUCUGUGCCAGCAGCCGCGGUAAUACAGAGGGUGCGAGCGUUAAUCGGAAUUACUGGGCGUAAAGGGCGCGUAGGCCGGUUCAUCAAGUGUGAUGCGAAAUCCCCGGGCUUAACCUGGGAAUGGCAUCACGGACUGAUGAGCUGGAGUACUGUAGAGGACGGUGGAAUUUCCGGUGUAGCGGUGAAAUGCGUAGAGAUCGGAAGGAACAUCAGUGGCGAAGGCGACCGUCUGGACAGAUACUGACGCUGAGGCGCGAAAGCGUGGGGAGCAAACAGGAUUAGAUACCCUGGUAGUCCACGCUGUAAACGAUGAAAACUGGAUGUUGGCAGGCAUGGCCUGUUGGUAUCGAAGCUAACGCGAUAAGUUUUCCGCCUGGGGAGUACGGCACCGCAAGGUUAAAACUCAAAGGAAUUGACGGGGCCCGCACAAGCGGUGGAGCAUGUGGUUUAAUUCGAUUGCAACGCGAAGAACCUUACCUACCCUUGACAUCCACGGAAUUCUGCAGAGAUGCGGAUAGUGCCGCAAGGAACCGUGAGACAGGUGCUGCAUGGCUGUCGUCAGCUCGUUGUUGUGAGAUGUUGGGUUAAGUCCCGUAACGAGCGCAACCCCUGUUCUCAGUUGCCAGCGCGUAAAGGCGGGGACUCUGAGGAGACUGCCGGGUGAUGAACCGGAGGAAGGCGGGGACGACGUCAAGUCAUCAUGGCCUUUAUGGGUAGGGCUACACACGUGCUACAAUGGGGCGUACAGAGGCGGCCAACCCGCGAGGGGGAGCCAAAUCCCAGAAAGCGCCUCUUAGUCCGGACUGGAGUCUGCAACUCGACUCCACGAAGUCGGAAUUCGCUAGUAAUCGCGAAUCAGAAUGUCGCGGUGAAUACGUUCCCGGGCCUUGUACACACCGCCCGUCACCACCAUGGGAGUGGGUUGUACCAGAAGCAUGUAGUUUAACCGCGAGGGGGACGCCUGCCACGGUAUGAUUCAUGACUGGGGUG